rnacentral:rRNA from 1 species
AUUGAACGCUGGCGGCAGGCCUAACACAUGCAAGUCGAGCGGAUGAAGGGAGCUUGCUCCUGGAUUCAGCGGCGGACGGGUGAGUAAUGCCUAGGAAUCUGCCUGGUAGUGGGGGAUAACGUCCGGAAACGGGCGCUAAUACCGCAUACGUCCUGAGGGAGAAAGUGGGGGAUCUUCGGACCUCACGCUAUCAGAUGAGCCUAGGUCGGAUUAGCUAGUUGGUGGGGUAAAGGCCUACCAAGGCGACGAUCCGUAACUAGUCUGAGAGGAUGAUCAGUCACACUGGAACUGAGACACGGUCCAGACUCCUACGGGAGGCAGCAGUGGGGAAUAUUGGACAAUGGGCGAAAGCCUGAUCCAGCCAUGCCGCGUGUGUGAAGAAGGUCUUCGGAUUGUAAAGCACUUUAAGUUGGGAGGAAGGGCAGUAAGUUAAUACCUUGCUGUUUUGACGUUACCAACAGAAUAAGCGCCGGCUAACUUCGUG